CCUACGGGAGGCAGCAGUAGGGAAUCUUUCACAAUGGGCGAAAGCCUGAUGGAGCAACGCCGCGUGCAGGAUGAAGGCCUUCGGGUUGUAAACUGCUUUUAUAAGCGAGAAAUAUGAUGGUAACUUAUGAAUAAGGAUCGGCUAACUACGUGCCAGCAGCCUCGGUCAUACGUAGGAUCCGAGCAUUAUCCGGAGUGACUGGGUGUAAAGAGUUGCGUAGGUGGCAUAAUAAUUAGCUAGUGAAAUCUGGUGGCUCAACCAUUCAGACUAUUAGCUAAACUGUUAAGCUCGAGACCGUUAGGGGUAACUGGAAUUUCUAGUGUAGGAGUGAAAUCCGUAGAUAUUAGAAGGAACACCAAUAGCGUAGGCAGGUUGCUGGGACGGUUCUGACACUAAGGCACGAAAGCGUAGGGAGCAAACGGGAUUAGAUACCCCUGUAGUC
rnacentral:rRNA from 1 species